CCUANGGGUGGCAGCAGUGGGGAAUAUUGCGCAAUGGGGGAAACCCUGACGCAGCAACGCCGCGUGAGUGACGAAGGCCUUCGGGUCGUAAAGCUCUGUCGGAGGGGAAGAAACUACAGGGUGCUAAUAUCACUUUGUAUUGACGGUACCCUCAAAGGAAGCACCGGCUAACUCCGUGCCAGCAGCCGCGGUAAUACGGAGGGUGCAAGCGUUGUUCGGAAUUACUGGGCGUAAAGCGCGUGUAGGCGGCCUAUUAUGUCAGGUGUGAAAGCCCUCGGCCUAACCGAGGAAGUGCGCCUGAAACUGAGAGGCUUGAGUACGAGAGAGGAGGACGGAAUUCCCAGUGUAGAGGUGAAAUUCGUAGAUAUUGGGAGGAACACCGGUGGCGAAAGCGGUUCUCUGGAUCGAUACUGGCGCUAAGACGCGAAAGCGUGGGGAGCAAACAGGAUUAGAUACCCGANUANUC
rnacentral:rRNA from 1 species